GUACAGGAAAGACAGCAACCUUCUGUUCUGGGAUCUUGCAGCAGCUUGACUAUGGUCUGGUUGAAUGCCAGGCCCUGGUUCUUGCUCCCACCCGUGAGCUUGCACAGCAAAUUGAGAAAGUUAUGCGCGCACUUGGUGACUACCUUGGUGUUAAAGUCCAUGCAUGCGUUGGAGGAACAUCUGUUCGUGAGGACCAAAGGAUUCUCGCCAGUGGUGUGCAUGUUGUUGUUGGUACACCUGGUCGUGUGUUUGACAUGCUGCGUAGACAGUCCCUCCGCCCUGAUAACAUCAAGAUGUUUGUUCUU
rnacentral:lncRNA from 1 species